rnacentral:rRNA from 1 species
UACGAAGGACCCGAGCGUUAUCCGGAUUUAUUGGGUUUAAAGGGUGCGUAGGCGGAUUAAUAAGUCAGUGGUGAAAGCCCAUCGCUUAACGAUGGAACUACCAUUGAUACUGUUAGUCUUGAGUAUGGUUGAGGUGGGCGGAAUGUGUCAUGUAGCGGUGAAAUGCUUAGAUAUGACACAGAACACCAAUUGCGAAGGCAGCUCGCUAAACCAUAACUGACGCUGAUGCACGAAAGCGUGGGGAGCAAACAGG